AGAACGAACGCUGGCGGCGUGGAUAAGACAUGCAAGUCGAACGGGAUUACUUCUAGUAGCAAUACCUGAAGUAAUUUAGUGGCGAACGGGUGCGUAACACGUGGGGAAUCUGCCGAGAAGUGGGGGAUAGUUCGUCGAAAGGCGAAUUAAUACCGCAUAUGAUCAGCCAAGACAUCUUGGCGACAUCAAAGCCGGGGCAACCUGGCGCUUCUUGAUGACCCCGCGGCCUAUCAGCUAGUUGGUGAGGUAACGGCCCACCAAGGCUAUGACGGGUAGC
rnacentral:rRNA from 1 species